rnacentral:rRNA from 1 species
GAUGAACGCUGGCGGCGUGCCUAAUACAUGCAAGUCGAGCGAACAGACGAGGAGCUUGCUCCUCUGACGUUAGCGGCGGACGGGUGAGUAACACGUGGAUAACCUACCUAUAAGACUGGGAUAACUUCGGGAAACCGGAGCUAAUACCGGAUAAUAUAUUGAACCGCAUGGUUCAAUAGUGAAAGACGGUUUUGCUGUCACUUAUAGAUGGAUCCGCGCCGCAUUAGCUAGUUGGUAAGGUAACGGCUUACCAAGGCAACGAUGCGUAGCCGACCUGAGAGGGUGAUCGGCCACACUGGAACUGAGACACGGUCCAGACUCCUACGGGAGGCCGCAGUAGGGAAUCUUCCGCAAUGGGCGAAAGCCUGACGGAGCAACGCCACGUGAGUGAUGAAGGUCUUCGGAUCGUAAAACUCUGUUAUGAGGGAAGAACAAAUGUGUAAGUAACUAUGCACGUCUUGACGGUACCUAAUCAGAAAGCCACGGCUAACUACGUG